AGCUCCAAUAGGAUAUAUCAAAGUUGUUGCAGUUGAAAAGCUCGUAGUCGUAUUUCUGGUGGGUUGAUGUCGCAUCUCUUCGGGCGAAAGCUCGAGUUUUCUGCGGCCGCCUGCCAUUUUGUGGGACAACGUGGCCUGGUGUGGGUUAAACCACGCCUUGUCGCGCCACUCCGUCACUGAGAGCAAAUUGGAGUGCUCAAAGCAGGCUUUACAGCUUUGAACAUCUUAGCUUGGAAUGACAAAGUAUGACUUUUUGUUCACUUUGUUGGUUAUGAACGAGAAGUAAUGAUAAAUAGGAACAGUUGCGGGGGUACUCGUACUGGAAAGUCAGAGGUGAAAUUCUUGGAUUUUUCCAUGACGAACGACUGCGAAAGCAUUUACCAAGGAUGUUUUCAUUGAU
rnacentral:rRNA from 1 species